rnacentral:lncRNA from 1 species
UGAUUAUAUGAUUAGACUAUGUACUGACUGUAAUAGACAGUACUAUGUGUUAAGAUAUAUUGUUCUAAUCGAACGAAUGAUCUGAUUAUUGAUAGGUUGUGAUAAAGAGAUAAAACCUAAGUUGAGAUUUGUAAUCAGCGAAUCAGGCAAGUAUCCUACCUUUGCAUUUCCUUUAUGCAAUGGACAUGAGUAAGAAGUUUCAGAAUUAUUCUAUUCCUGUACAGAUUAUGUACGCUUUGAUUAUCAACAUGUUAGCUCAGAUAUAUAUUCUGUUAAGUUGAUUUCUAAAUGGUUAUACAAGUGUCCCCACUUGGAUAAUCAUGGCAUUUAUUCACAUGUUGAUA